rnacentral:rRNA from 1 species
CAGCCGCCGCGGUAAUACCGGCGGCCCGAGUGGCGGUCACUAUUAUUGGGCUUAAAGCGUCCGUAGCCGGGGUGGGAAGUCCUCCGGGAAAUCUGGCCGCUUAACGGUCAGAAUGCCGGAGGAUACUCCCAGCCUAGGGAGCGGGAGAGGCCGAGGGUAUUCCCGGAGUAGGGGGGAAAUCCUAUAAUCCCGGGAGGACCACCUGUGGCGAAGGCGCUCGGCUGGAACGCGUCCGACGGUGAGGGACGAAGGCCAGGGGAGCAAACCGGAUUAGAUACCCGGGUAGUCCUGGCUGUAAACGAUGCGGACUUUGUGUCGGACAAGCUAUGAGCUUGUCCGGUGCCGGAGGGAAACCGUUAAGUCCGCCGCCUGGGGAGUACGGCCGCAAGGCUGAAACUUAAAGGAAUUGGCGGG